AGGUUUAUGAUGAGUUAUAAUUACAGAGCAUGAAGAAGUGAAGCUCAGUACUCGGAAGUCC
rnacentral:snoRNA from 1 species